AACAGAGUUCCCAUACUAUUUAAUCAUACAUACGAAAUUGAUGUUUGUCAUUAACAAAUAACAAAUCAAGUCAUUCUUCAGACAAUUCUAACUAAUUAAUAAAUAGUCGGUCAACUCUAAAAUAAUGCUUUUGAUGUUGCCUUAGAUUCUUCGAUAAUGCUUAUGAUGUGUGUGCACUCAUAUAUUUUAAUAUUCACAAUAUUGCUUUAUGAUUUGUACCUAAUUGUCCUCAAUAUGUUUCUGGUUUUUUUUUGAGAUAUUUUGUAAUCAUACAAGAGCUUGAGAUCUUUGCUUCAAAAGGCAAUUCAAACAUCACGUGCUAAAAAACUAAAAAAGAAAGAAUCUGCCAUAGGAAACCAUCAGACAUUCAGCAUGCAUAGCAGUAGAGGCCAAAUGCUCAGGAGUCUUAAUCAAAUAGAAUGGAGGCAUCAUACAAUCUAUUCAACCAAAAGCUUUCAAGAUAGUCCCCUUUGAAACUAGGAGUGAUAUUCUACCAAGCAAGAAGCCUCUUGCAUGUGGGGAUCUAAUCUACUUUGCUUCUUAGAAGGGGAAAUGAGAACCUGACAAAACAUAGACCAAAAUAUUAGGCAGCCUAGAUAUUUUCUUUGCAAACUGUUAUAUUAUAAAACAGCAUCAAGAGGAAAUAAAAUGAAUCAGCCAAGGAUCACAGUGAGACUAAGUAUACCAGCCAAGAAUCUCAAAAGGGCAGUAAGGCAUCCAGAGGUUAUUCAGUUAUGCUUUAUUAAAGUAUCCUCAUCAAUGGCAAUAACAAUGAGUAAAAAGGGAAUAAUUAGAGGGAAGUAAAGGGUCAUAGUAUGUUACUGAAAUCAAAAGGUUUUCACUAACCCAUACUCAGCUAUAAAUAGGGUUCCAUACCACUAUAAGAAAGGGGGGGAGACACACGAAAAUGGAGGGAGAUUACACAUACAGGUGACCCACCAUAGUUACAGAGCAUUCAGAAUACACAUACACAACAAAUACCCAAAAGAGAGUGAUAUACAUUCAUAUAUCCACACAUAUCAUACAAAUCAGAGGGCACAACACAGAAUUUGUAUCUGCUCUCUAUCACACACAUAGAAAGAAGAGAAAAACACACAGCUAUCAUUCCUCAUACACUGACCUCACACACAUAACCGAGGAUGAUUCCGGAAGCAUAUCUCACAUACACGAGAAAGGGAUAGGUUGCUGAUCAAGAACAUAGAGAUAAAGGUAAUCACAGCAAGGUUAUACACAGGAACACUGUCAGGUAAGAAGGUGUUUUUUAUUUGGUGAUCAAUCUGUGUUUUGAACUUAGACGAUAAAUUUAUAAACAAUUUUGCUUAGCCAUACAGAAUUACAUACAUCCCAUUCCCAUUCAAUUGAUUUCGCAGAGACACAUAUACUGUCAUUUAACCAAUAACAAAAGUAACUAAUGCUAUAUAA
rnacentral:lncRNA from 1 species